GGCUCUGUGGUGCAAUGGAUAGCGCAUUGGACUUCUAGGCUGUGAGCUGAGCCAUUCAAAGGUUGUGGGUUCGAGUCCCACCAGAGUCG
rfam:Danio rerio chromosome 4, GRCz11 reference primary assembly.